rnacentral:lncRNA from 1 species
CAUAAACAAGGAUCCGCCUUUCCUAUUUUUCUUCAGCUUCUUUCUUACAUACCUGUGUUUCAACACUCGGAUUAUCUCUCCGGCAACGUCUUCCUGGUGGUGGAAGUGGUGAACACUGAAGGCCAAGUAACAAGUUAGCAAAAUGGGACCUGGUGGACCGGGAGGAGGGCCGGGAGGACCUGGUGGACCGGGAGGAUGGGGAGGAGGACCUGGUGGUUGGGGUCCUGGCCCCGGAGGACCUGGCGGAUUUGGGCCUGGAGGUCCUGGUUGGGGUCCGGGACCUGGAGGUCCUGGUUGGGGUCCGGGACCUGGAGGUCCCUGGGGCCCUGGAUUUGGAGGUCCUGGUUUUUGGCCUGGUGGGUUCUUUGGCGGCUUUGCAGAUGGUUUGUGCAAUAUGAUAUCUUCCUGGUAAGCAAUCAAAUCUUUACUCAAUUCCGGUAUAGUUAAAUGCGGUUUGAUUGAGGUUAAAUUUGAUUGGGAUUGC